rnacentral:ncRNA from 19 species
UUUCGCCGUAAGGGAACAGAUGGCGGAAACGGCAAACUUCGGAUCCGGUGAAAAGGGAAGCAGGUGAGAGGCCUGCACGAACUCGUCACUGUAUUAAGGGAGUUCUGCACGGGCAUAGCAGGUAUCCGGGAGAUUUUCCACCCGGAUACAGCAUGCAAAGUCACUGGGCGAAAGCCUGGGAAGACGGAUGCGGGGCGAUGAGCUUAGAGUCAGGAGACCUGCCUGGGAUUUGGUACGAAAU